AUUGAACGCUGGCGGCAGGCCUAACACAUGCAAGUCGAGCGGAUGAUAGGAGCUUGCUCCUGGAUUCAGCGGCGGACGGGUGAGUAAUGCCUAGGAAUCUGCCUGGUAGUGGGGGACAACAGUUGGAAACGACUGCUAAUACCGCAUACGUCCUACGGGAGAAAGCAGGGGACCUUCGGGCCUUGCGCUAUCAGAUGAGCCUAGGUGGGAUUAGCUAGUAGGUGAGGUAAUGGCUCACCUAGGCGACGAUCCGUAACUGGGCUGAGAGGAUGAUCAGUCACACUGGAACUGGGACACGGUCCAGACUCCUACGGGAGGCAGCAGUGGGGAAUAUUGGACAAUGGGCGAAAGCCUGAUCCAGCCAUGCCGCGUGUGUGAAGAAGGUCUUCGGAUUGUAAAGCACUUUAAGUUGGGAGGAAGGGCAGUAAGUUAAUACCUUGCUGUUUUGACGUUACCAACAGAAUAAGCACCGGCUAACUUCGUGCCAGCCGCCGCCGUAAGAC
rnacentral:rRNA from 1 species